UUCCGGUUGAUCCUGCCGGACCUGACUGCUAUCGGAUUGAUACUAAGCCAUGCGAGUCAUUGUAGCAAUACAAGGCAUACGGCUCAGUAACGCGUAGUCAACCUAACCUAUGGACGGGAAUAACCUCGGGAAACUGAGAAUAAUGCCCGAUAGAACACUAUACCUGGAAUGGUUUGUGUUCCAAAUGAUUUAUCGCCAUAGGAUGGGACUGCGGCCUAUCAGUUUGUUGGUGAGGUAAUGGCCCACCAAGACUAUUACAGGUACGGGCUCUGAGAGGAGUAGCCCGGAGAUGGGUACUGAGACACGGACCCAGGCCCUAUGGGGCGCAGCAGGCGAGAAAACUUUGCAAUGUGCGAAAGCACGACAAGGUUAAUCCGAGUGAUUUGUGCUAAACGAAUCUUUUGUUAGUCCUAGAAACACUAACGAAUAAGGGGUGGGCAAGUUCUGGUGUCAGCCGCCGCGGUAAAACCAGCACCUCAAGUGGUCAGGAUGAUUAUUGGGCCUAAAGCAUCCGUAGCCGGCUCUGUAAGUUUUCGGUUAAAUCUGUACGCUUAACGUACAGGCUGCCGGGAAUACUGCAGAGCUAGGGAGUGGGAGAGGUAGACGGUACUCGGUAGGAAGUGGUAAAAUGCUUUGAUCUAUCGAUGACCACCUGUGGCGAAGGCGGUCUACCAGAACACGUCCGACGGUGAGGGAUGAAAGCUGGGGGAGCAAAACGGAUUAGAUACCCGGGUAGUCCCAGCUGUAAACUAUGCAAACUCAGUGAUGCAUUGGCUUGUGGCCAAUGCAGUGCUGCAGGGAAGCCGUUAAGUUUGCCGCCUGGGAAGUACGUACGCAAGUAUGAAACUUAAAGGAAUUGGCGGGGGAGCACCACAAGGGGUGAAGCCUGCGGUUCAAUUGGAGUCAACGCCGGG
rnacentral:rRNA from 1 species